AAACUUUAUUGCUCUAAUGAGGCAAGUGUUCUUUCUGACGAGAAAGCUGAUAAAGACAUUGUUUUUGACUAACCGGAAAUGAAAGCAAAAAUUUGAUGAUUCCAUUACAGGAAGCAUUCAUUCUUAACCUUUCCAUUUAAUAUUAAUUGGUACCAGUGGUAGAAGUGGUCACCAUUUUAUUUUUCUUCUCGUAAGGUUGCAAAUAGAGUUUUCCUUCAAUCUUCCCGCUUGCCAUUGCAAACCUGUUAAAUAUUCUCAAGGAUUGUUUAUCUACUUUUGUAUAUCUCUCCUCCCCCAGGUGGCCCAUCUCAAUCCUAAGAAUAAGAAAAAUCAGGUCCUAUGCUAACAGCGAUUCUCCUGUCAGAGGACAUAUCUUAGAAGCAUUGAGGGUCUAAUCAAGGCUGCCAAAGACACCCAGAUGGUUUAAAUUUAAUGCUUCCUGUUAUCAUAUUUCCCGUUGCUUGUUUAAAUACCAAAAGUUUUCCCUUUCAAAGAACAAUUUUAAAAAAUAUAUUAAAAAAAUAAAUAAAUUUCACCAAUAAUCUCUGCAAGAACAAGAACCUUGCUUGAACCUGUGAAAUCUUAAUCGAUCCCUCACAAUAAUUUCUCGAUCGUAUAUCUUUGAUAUGAGCUUGAUCAUCGCAUGACAAUCCCCACAUAUCCUAAGGUUCUUAAUCACAUGAAUUGGCGUUCCAGUGCUAGAGCUAAUCAGAACAAAAGCAACAGCCAGCUUCUCACUGUGAUGAUACAAUGCGUUCUCUUUCUCUUCCUCUCCUAUAUCAUGCAGCACAAAACUUGUCUCAGCCAAAUACCCAUAUUCCUUAAUCCUGAACCUAAUCUCAUCCAACUUAGCAUAAAUUUCUCUCCAACUUUCAUGACUCUUGUCACCAUUGCAAAAUUUGUGAAUCACACCCUUUUCUUCAACAUAGCUAAACCCAGGCGCCUUCUUCACAUCCCUAAUCUUCAUGGCGUUCCUUACCCUCCCCACAUCAGCCCACCUCUUCUGUGCUGCAUAGACAUUGGACAACAAAACAAAAUCCCCAUCAGAGUUAGACCCCAUCUCCACCAGCUUCUGUGAAACAAGUUCUGCCAUUUCUACAUUAGCAUAAGUCCUGCAAGCACCAAGCAAAGUCUGCCAAAGUACCAAAUCAGGUACCAUUGGCAUAGAAUUUAUAACAUCAUAAGCCUCCUGAAGCCGCCCAGCUCGGCCCAACAAAUCAACCACACUCCCAUAGUGCUUAACAUUAGGUGUAACUCCACUCUUCUCCAUUGAAUUAAACAACCUAUAGCCUUCUUCCACUAACCCCGCAUGGUUACAAGCGCACAGCAGUGCAAGAAAAGAUACAGCAUCGGGGUCAACCUCAGCCUGACCCAUUUGCUCAAAUAGCUCAAGAGCUUUACACCCAUCACCAUGCAUUGCAAAUGCCAUGAUCAUUGUAUUCCAAGUAACAAGACUCUUCUUACAACUCAUACUCUCAAAAACCAAGUAUGC
rnacentral:misc_RNA from 1 species